CUGUAGUUAAAAUAGAACAUUGAAGUAGCUUUUAUAAGCAUGCCUUAGAAAAACAUUAUUGAUGUGCAUCUUGAGACAAAACCAUGACACUGACACAUUUUUUGUUUUUGUUUAUAAUACCCAAUAGUUGCCAGAUGCAGUCCUGUCGGAAAUUCUUCUUCACGUGGUUCUGGAGGAAGGUGAUGCUGCAUUAUUAAAUCUGUCUUUGGUUUGUUCCAAAUUCAGAAGUCUGGUGUAUACAGACUCAUUUCGAAAGAGGGCACACUUCUGCUGGCUUGACAGUGUAACAAAAUGGAGAACAAAGUCUGAGCCAUGCCAGGAAUUCUUCAAAAUGUACACACUGCAGCCCUGCAGACACUGCCAUGAGGUUUACAAGAACUGCUUACCAGGUCACCGUAGCCACCAGAUCCAGUCUGUAUCCAAGUCAGAUGGUCACUGCAGUCACCCGG